UACUCCUACGGGAGGCAGCAGUGGGGAAUCUUAGACAAUGGGCGCAGGCCUGAUCUAGCCAUGCCGCGUGAGCGAUGAAGGCCUUAGGGUUGUAAAGCUCUUUCAGUGGGGAAGAUAAUGACUGUACCCACAGAAGAAGCCCCGGCUAACUCCGUGCCAGCAGCCGCGGUA
rnacentral:rRNA from 1 species